GCCGUCUUCGAGAACAAAGGACAAACAACGACAGGGUGACCGUUGUUUCAGAACCCCAAAUUCAAAUAUAUAGUAUGGCAAAGAAUAUUUCCCCUAGUUUGUGAACCCUCCUUCCUAACAUGUGAAUUUAUCAGUGGUCAGUCAGUUGAUGAGCAUUUAUCAAGCAUGUACUAUGUGCCAGGCACUGUGAUGAAGCUUGCUUUCUGGAGAGUCAUGAUAAUGUGAAAUGGAAACAUCUCAGACACUUUGGAGCACCCGUGGACUUUUUGUAACUGGUUCUAGCCAAUUAGCCUCGUGGUUAGGAGGAGGCUUUUUAAAAAUUUUUCAUUAAUUUAUUUUGAUUUAUUAACAAUCACUUCCAAGGAGGAGGCUUUUUUCAGUUGACUACAAAAUUGGAAUGAAGAGUGUCUUCAAAAAGGCCUGAAUCAGCCUUGGCCGACCAGCCUCAACCAUCCUCUCUGCCCUCAGUGAGAUUGCUUCUUUCCUGGUGAAGGGAGUGGAACCUUUUACCUUGUACAUUUCAAAAGAUCAGAAAAGUGGAAUUCUGAUGUUCUACACUGCAAGUUUACAAUCAGCAGGGCUACAUCAAUGCCCCCAAGGGAAAGUUAUAACCUUGGGAACCCAGCUCAGCAGGAGCUGAGAAAAGACAUAUCAGAUACCCCAGACUGCUGCCUUUGGACUUGGACUUGGUGAGACCAACGCUGUGCACAAGUGAGAUAAGUUUGAGCCAACCCGCUGUGCCUCUCCCUCUCCCUGCUCUGGCAGGUGUUGGGGAGAUUAUGUUCUUGAGCGUAAACAGACCUGGUUCCUUCUUUCAUCAGCUACAUUUUCCAGGCCUUUAAUCAUGUUUGCUGCUUUCUUCUGGAUUCUUUCAACAUUAUCCCCUCCCCUUGUUGGAGUUGAGAGGCCCAACGCUUGGCGAGUUAACUUGACAAAAAGCAAACUCAGUCAUAAUCCAGGCCUGGUUGUAUGCAUGCCACAUUCUCU